rnacentral:rRNA from 1 species
UACGUAGGGUGCAAGCGUUGUCCGGAAUUAUUGGGCGUAAAGAGCUCGUAGGCGGUUUGUCACGUCGAAUGUGAAAACCCGGGGCUCAACCCCGGGCCUGCAUUCGAUACGGGCAGACUAGAGUUCGGUAGGGGAGUCUGGAAUUCCUGGUGUAGCGGUGAAAUGCGCAGAUAUCAGGAGGAACACCGGUGGCGAAGGCGGGACUCUGGGCCGAUACUGACGCUGAGGAGCGAAAGCGUGGGGAGCGAACAGG